CCGGCUCAUAACCGGUCGGUCCCUGGUUCGAUCCCAGGUGGGCCCACCA
rnacentral:tRNA from 1 species